GGGUGAAAUCUGGUGCCGAAAAGUAAAAGUAGCUGGAAGCUAAUGUAAGAGAAUCUUAGGCUGUUAAAACCUAGAUAUAAAACAGGAUUAGAUACCCUGCUAUACCUGGUCAAAAGUAGGUCGCUUGAGUAGUAAACAGCUAUUUCCUCGAAACUUAAAGGAGUUGGCGGUACCUUAGUCUUGUUAGAGGAAUCUGUUCUAUAAACGAUAAACCACGAAGUAUCUUACUCUUCUUUGUAGAACAGCUUGUAUACCGCCAUUAUUAGAUAGUUUUUAUAAAAAUCUAUUAAAAUAAUCUAAAGUUAAUAUAUUAGGUCAAGGUGCAGCCGAUAGAAGAGAAAGCAAUGGAUUACAAUAAUAUAAGUGUAUCACGAAUUAGCAGGCAAAGGUCUGCUCUGAAGGUGGAUUUAAUCGUAAGCCUCGUUUAAUAAGAGGGGUUGAUAGAAGCUCUAAGGUAUGUA
rnacentral:rRNA from 1 species